GGGAGGAGCCGAGCGGCGUUCGCAGGAGGCAGCUUCCUCGAGCUUCAGGCGCCCGGAGACAAGCGGGAGGACAGGAAUCUCUAAAGAGUGAGAGGAAAACUGAUGACAGGCACUGCCCAAAGAAGAUGGAACUGUCAUAGUGGUUUUUGUUUAGGAUCUGCUUACCCCCCUGAGAACAUAAGCUUGAUGAAGGCAAGGACCGUUUCUUAUCACUGUUGAAUCCCAGUUCCUGGUACAGUGCCUGGCACAUAGUGGAUGGUCGAUGGAUUUAUGAAUGAAUGAACAAAUUAACAAACGACCAUGGGGUGUGUGAAGAACAGUGAGAAGACUGGACUAUUUGGAAAGAAGUAUCUUUCCUUGAGGAGUAGAGGAAUCUCCGAUUCUCCAACAGACUGGCAGAGGAACAAGUAAAUGGGCCUGCAUGGGAUUCAAAACACAGGGGCAAGUGGAACCAGCUGAACAAGAUAACAAUAGAGGUGAAGCCUAACCCUGGAAACCAGUCAAGAUUCCCAGAGAUAAACCCUCGGGCAGCAAGAAACUGACCUUUCGCCUUCUGGAGUCACAGAAUUCCCACAAAUGCUGUGUCCUCAUCAGCUCUGGCAGCCUCGCCACCACAGCCCAGACUUCGACGCCAAUUCAUAAACAGCACGGAGGGGGCUGUGCUAGAAGUCAGAGCUUCUCCACCUCCAGCACCUCAAAAUACAGGCUCCCUGCCGCCCCAUUUUCUUCUAGAGGUUAACCUUCUCCCCAGGCUCACAAAGUUACGAGACAGCCUUUAAGGGGUUUUCCUCUGACAGUGUGGUCUAGUCUGCUGCUGCUGAAGGACCUCAGGAUGGUCCCUAGGCUUUGUGAUUCAAAAUAAGGAGAAUGGAUAAACAGAGACAAGACUGAAGAGGCGGAAGGAAAGGAGGAGAUGAACAAAAGACAGAACAGAAGAAAUGGAAAGUGAGGGGUUAAGACAGUGAGGAGCUCCAGAGCUGAUGAAAUGUAAGAAUCAGAUGCUGCUGUCGAGAAGCAAGCUGCUGAGAAUUCCCUGGCGGUCCAGUGGUUAGGACUCCGCGCUUUCACUGCUGAGGGCCCGGGUUCGGGGAACUAAGGUCACGCAAGCCGUGUGGCACGGCCGAAGAAAACAGCAAGCUGCUGAUCUCCUCAUGGAGUAACCUGUUUUAACGAUCACAACAACCGUGGCAAUUGCUUCCCCUGACCGUUUCCCCUCCCCACCAUUUUUCCAGCCAUGCUUACUAACACUGAGGCAGGAAAAUAAGACCCCAACAGAAAGGUAGUGAGGAAUUGUUAUCAACGUUCCUGAGAGCAAAAGCCAGGCGUGAAUAAUCUUGAUAACCCACAUAGUACCUAGCACAGUGCCUUAUCUAGUCCAGGCGGAUUACUCUGUAACAGACACAAAUAGAGCAAAAAAUACGUGAUGGAUUCCAGCCUAUUUGGAGAAUGGAAGCUGCAGCAGUACAAGGCCAAUUCCAGGGUUUACCCUAAAGUCCACAGAGAUAGUCACUACUUCCCUAUUUAUUUCCACUUACUAUGUAUGGGUUGAGAAGGUGUUUCGAUUGCUCUAUCAGACAACAUUUAUUGAGCAUACGCUGCCUGCUGGUGCUGUGACCCUGUGACUGGAUGAGAAUUCUCAUAGGGCCAAUCAGACAUAAGGACUUACCCUACUAAUGACGUAAACAACGCUUCUAAUGAGCUCUUCCUUAGCAUGCUUGUCCGCUCGGGAAUAACCAAACUGCAGGGCAGUUAUGGAUUAAAGAUAGCUGUCAAUUUUUUGCUGCUUCUCCCAUUGUUAUGUGGAGUCUGAGUCCUCUUUCCUUGAA